UGAGAAAAAUAGGGGAAAAAGAAAGAAAAAAGAUAACGAAGCUGCAUCUCUUUUGUGUCUGAGCAGCAAAAAAAAAUUUUAAGAAAAGAAAAGAAAAUCCAGCAAUGGAUCUCCUCUCACUGCAUUCUCCUUCUUUAACGGCUCUGCCAUACUCUAGAACAGCAUUAAUGGAAAAAAGCUCCUUCCUUUCUGGUCAGAUUCUCACAAUUGCCAAGAACAAGGGGCACCCAGAUGCCAGAAAUCUCAAAUUCCUUGAUUUCAGAGCUCGAACUUCAGGGUAUGCACAGGGCACAGGCAAAUCCAAUCCAGGGACUAAAAAUGCCAUUAGACAGGAAAUGCAGUCAAAAGACAACGAUCUUGCAUUCGUUGCAGGUGCUACUGGUAAAGUAGGUUCACGCACUGUAAGGGAGCUUCUGAAACUUGGAUUUCGAGUGCGGGCAGGUGUUCGGAGUCCACAGAAGGCAGAGCCUCUAGUGCAAAGUGUUCGACAAAUGAAGCUUGAUGAUGCAGCUGUAGACAAGCUUGAAAUUGUUGAAUGUGACCUGGAGCGAGAUGCAAUCGAGCCAGCUAUCGGCAAUGCAUCCAUAGUUAUAUGUUGCAUAGGUGCCAGUGAGAAGGAGAUUUUUGAUGUCACUGGGCCCUACCGCAUUGACUAUCUAGCAACUAAAAAACUUAUUGAUGCAGCAACUUCUGCAAAGGUUAAACACUUCAUCUUGCUAACAUCAUUGGGGACAAAUAAGAUUGGAUUCCCUGCAUCAAUUCUAAAUUUGUUUUGGGGAGUCCUGAUUUGGAAAAGAAGGGCGGAAGAAGCAUUGCUUGCCAGCAGUCUUCCUUACACUAUAGUGAGGCCUGGAGGGAUGGAGCGGCCUACAGAUGCUUAUAAGGAAACCCAUAAUCUUGUCCUUGCCAAUGAAGAUACUUAUUUCGGUGGCCAAGUUUCCAACCUUCAGGUGGCGGAGCUCAUGGCAUUCAUGGCGAAGAACAGGAGCCUUUCUUUCUGUAAAGUCGUUGAAGUAAUUGCAGAAACAACUGCGCCAUUGACUCCAAUGGGAGUGCUUCUUGCCAAGAUCCCAUCACAGCGUGUAGAUUCUUCCUUGAAGAAGGAACUACAAACUGACAGUAAGCCUGAUCCUGCACCUUCUCAGAGCGUUGAAACCAAAAGCACUGCUGUUGAGAAGGAACCAAUACAAACUGAAGUUCCAAAAACAAGGCCUCUCUCGCCUUAUAUUGUGUAUGACGAUUUGAAACCGCCAACAUCUCCUACUCCGACACCAAGCACUACUCCCGGUGGCCCCAAAGAGAGUCAUUUAAAUGUUAUAUCAGUGGCGUCGGAGCCCAACCCUGCAAAUACUCGGAUUAGUGUAUCUGAGCCCACAGCUGGUAGCAUUGAGAAGGAAUUGGCCAAAGUCAAUGUACCAAAACCAAGACCAAGCUCUCCUUUUGUUGCUUAUGAGGAUUUGAAGCCGCCCACCUCGCCAACCCCAACACCGAGUUCUACUUCAGGUGCGAAAGAAAAACUGGUGAUUAAUGCACCACCAGAUGGAUCUGUGACAACGCCUAAUGCAGGAGAUGGUGUAGCCGGAAAAACACCUGUUGUUGAGAAGUAAGUCCUGCAAGUUUCAUCACAGAACUCAUAUCAUCUUUCACCAUAUUACAUGUACGAGGACUUAAAGCCUCCAACCUCUCCAAUCCCAUCGUCGAAGAAAUUCUAGGACGUUCCGAUCCUAGUAAGGUUGUAAAAAACAUGGUUCUAUCCAUUCAGUUUCCUAUUGAAGAAUCUGUUGAGCAAAAUAUUUUGGGUUCAUGGGCUGCUCAAAUAAAUAAAUAAGAUCAAAACAUUUUCUAUAUUGUUCACUACUACUAGGAAGUGUAUUGGACCCCACAAUUGAAUAUUAACCACCCAAUGGGCGGAAGGACAGUACUUUGUGACUA